GAGCGGCGAACGGGUGAGUAACACGUGGGUGAUCUGCCCUGUACUUCGGGAUAAGCCUGGGAAACUGGGUCUAAUACCGGAUAUGACCACGGGAUGCAUGUCUUGUGGUGGAAAGAUUUAUCGGUACAGGAUGGGCCCGCGGCCUAUCAGCUUGUUGGUGGGGUAAUGGCCUACCAAGGCGACGACGGGUAGCCGACCUGAGAGGGUGACCGGCCACACUGGGACUGAGACACGGCCCAGACUCCUACGGGAGGCAGCAGUGGGGAAUAUUGCACAAUGGGCGGAAGCCUGAUGCAGCGACGCCGCGUGAGGGAUGACGGCCUUCGGGUUGUAAACCUCUUUCGACAGGGACGAAGCGCAAGUGACGGUACCUGUANAAGAAGCACCGGCCAACUACGUGCCAGCAGCCGCGGUAAUACGUAGGGUGCGAGCGUUGUCCGGAAUUACUGGGCGUAAAGAGCUUGUAGGCGGUUCGUCCGCGUCGAUCGUGA
rnacentral:rRNA from 1 species